rnacentral:rRNA from 1 species
CCCAGUGACUACGGGUUCAACGGCCGCGGUAUUUUGACCGUGCAAAGGUAGCGCAAUCACUUGUCUUUUAAAUAAAGACCUGUAUGAAUGGCUAGACGAGGGCUUAGCUGUCUCCCCCUUCCAGUCAGUGAAAUUGAUCUAUCCGUGCAGAAGCGGGUAUACCUCUACAAGACGAGAAGACCCUUUGGAGCUUAAGGUACAAAACUUAAUCACGUUAAACAACUUAACAGAGAGAUAAGAACUUAGUGAGACAUAAGAUUUUACCUUCGGUUGGGGCGACCACGGAGGAAAAACAAGCCUCCAAGAGGAAUGGGUUUAUACCCUAAAGCCUAGAGAAACCUCUCUACGCCGCAGAACAUCUGACCAGCAAUGAUCCGGCAUAAAGCCGAUCAACGGACCAAGUUACCCUAGGGAUAACAGCGCAAUCCUCUCCCAGAGUCCAUAUCGACGAGGGGGUUUACGACCUCGAUGUUGGAUCAGGACAUCCUAAUGGUGCAGCCGCUAUUAAGGGUUCGUUUGUUCAACGAUUAAAGUCCU